rnacentral:rRNA from 1 species
GACGAACGCUGGCGGCGUGCUUAACACAUGCAAGUCGANCGGGGAUCAGAAUGGAAAGCUUCGGCCGGAAGUUUUGAUUCUAGCGGCGGACGGGUGAGUAACGCGUGAGCAAUCUGUCCUACACAGGGGGAUAACACUUGGAAACAGGUGCUAAUACCGCAUAAGACCACGAGGCGACAUCGCCACGGGGUAAAAGAUUUAUCGGUGUAGGGUGAGCUCGCGUCCGAUUAGCUAGUUGGUGAGGUAACGGCCCACCAAGGCGACGAUCGGUAGCCGACCUGAGAGGGUGAUCGGCCACAUUGGAACUGAGACACGGUCCAAACUCCUACGGGAGGCAGCAGUGGGGAAUAUUGGGCAAUGGGCGCAAGCCUGACCCAGCAACGCCGCGUGAGGGAAGAAGGUUUUCGGAUUGUAAACCUCUGUCCUCAAGGACGAAGGAAGUGACGGUACUUGAGGAGGAAGCCCCGGCUAACUACGUG